AGGGCGCAGGGCGGAUGCCUUGGCACUGAGAGCCGAUGAAAGACGUGAUAAGCUGCGAUAAGCUUCGGGGAGGAGCAAAUAUCCUUUGAUCCGGAGAUCUCUGAAUGGGGAAACCCGGCUGUAUGGACUACAGUCAUCCAUAAGUGAAUCCAUAGCUUAUGGAAGGGAACCCGGGGAACUGAAACAUCUAAGUACCCGGAGGAAGAGAAAGAAACAUCGAUUCCGUAAGUAGCGGCGAGCGAACGCGGAAGAGCCCAAACCGUGAUGCGUGCAUCGCGGGGUUCGGACUGCAGAAGGGAUUCAGCAACGACAGGAGAACGGCUUUGGAACAGCCGGCCAGAGAGGGUGAGAGCCCCGUAUCCAAAGUCAGAGCUGACCUGGCAGGAUCCAGAGUACCACGGGACACGGGAAACCCUGUGGGAACGAGCGGAGACCACUCCGUAAGGCUAAAUACUACUCAGUGACCGAUAGCGUAUAGUACUGUGAAGGAAAGGUGAAAAGAACCCCGGGAGGGGAGUGAAAGAGAACCUGAAACCCUGUGUCUACAAGCUGUGGAAGUACUUCUUAGGUACGACCGCGUACUUUUUGUAGAACGGUCCGGCGAGCUGCGGGUACUGGCAAGGUUAAGUACUUAAGGUACGGAGCCGUAGGGAAACCAAGUCUUAAUAGGGCGAAUCAGUCAGUACGUGCAGGCCCGAAACCGGGUGACCUAUCCAUGUCCAGGUUGAAGCCGCCGUAAAAGGCGAUGGAGGACCGAACCCACAUCCGUUGAAAAGGGUGGGGAUGAGGUGUGGAUAGCGGAGAAAUUCCAAUCGAACCCGGAGAUAGCUGGUUCUCCUCGAAAUAGCUUUAGGGCUAGCCUCAUACAAGUCUGCCGGAGGUAGAGCACUGAAUUUCCGCGGGGGCGUCAAAGCCUACCAAAGAAUAUCAAACUCCGAAUGCCGGACAGAUGGUGUAUGGGAGUCAGACUGUACGAGAUAAGUUGGACAGUCAAAAGGGAAAGAGCCCAGACCGCCGGCUAAGGUCCCAAAGUGGGUGUUAAGUGGAAAAGGAUGUGGGAUCUCUAAGACAACCAGGAUGUUGGCUCAGAAGCAGCCAUUCAUUAAAAGAGUGCGUAACAGCUCACUGGUCGAGAGGUCCUGCGCCGAAAAUGUCCGGGGCUGAAACACCACACCGAAGCCGCGGAACUCGUAAGAGUUGGUAGAGGAGCAUUCUUAGGGGAGGGAAGCAUUACCGGAAGGGGAUGUGGACUGCUAAGAAGAGAGAAUGCCGGAAUGAGUAGCGAGAGCAAGGUGGGAAUCCUUGCGGCCGAAUAUCCAAGGUUUCCAGAGUAAAGCUGAUCUGCUCUGGGUAAGUCGGGGCCUAAGGAGAGGCAGAGAUGCGUAUCCGAUGGACAGCAGGUAAAAGAUUCCUGCACCCCUUGUUAUCAGAACUGCGGGGACACGGGAAGGGAAGCAGAGCCGGGAAUGGAAAGCCCGGUGCAAGCGAAGUAGUCGCAGGAUUGGAAAAUCCGUCCUGCAUAAGACGAAGGCGUGAUGCGGAGCGAAACAAAGUAGCGAAGCUGCGGCCCCUUCCUGUCGAGAAAAGCCGCUAUCGUGUAGCAAGGGCCCGUACCGUAAACCGACACAGGUGGAUGAGGAGAGGAUCCUAAGGCCGGCGGGAGAAGUGUUGUUAAGGAACUCGGCAAAAUGACUCCGUAACUUCGGGAGAAGGAGUGCUGCGCAAGCAGCCGCAGAGAAAUGGCCCAAGCAACUGUUUAGCAAAAACACAGGUCUAUGCGAAACCGAAAGGUGAGGUAUAUGGGCUGACGCCUGCCCGGUGCUGGAAGGUUAAGGGGAGAGGUUAGCGCAAGCGAAGCUUUGAACUUAAGCCCCAGUAAACGGCGGCCGUAACUAUAACGGUCCUAAGGUAGCGAAAUUCCUUGUCGGGUAAGUUCCGACCCGCACGAAAGGCGUAAUGAUUUGGGCACUGUCUCAACAACACACCCGGUGAAAUUGAAAUACCAGUGAAGAUGCUGGUUACCCGCGCCAGGACGGAAAGACCCCAUGGAGCUUUACUCCAGCCUGAUACUGGGAUUCGGUAUUGCAUGUACAGGAUAGGUGGGAGGCUAAGAACUUAUGGCGCCAGCCGUAAGGGAGCCAUUGUUGGGAUACCACCCCUGCAGUACUGGGUUUCUAACCUGCGCCCGUGACCCGGGCGGGGGACAAUGUCAGGCGGGGAGU
rnacentral:rRNA from 1 species